rnacentral:rRNA from 2 species
GAUGGAGCACGCCGCGUGAGUGAAGAAGGCUUUCGGGUCGUAAAACUCUGUUGUUGGAGAAGAAUGGUCGGCAGAGUAACUGUUGUCGGCGUGACGGUAUCCAACCAGAAAGCCACGGCUAACUACGUGCCAGCAGCCGCGGUAAUACGUAGGUGGCAAGCGUUAUCCGGAUUUAUUGGGCGUAAAGCGAGCGCAGGCGGUUUUUUAAGUCUGAUGUGAAAGCCCUCGGCUUAACCGAGGAAGUGCAUCGGAAACUGGGAAACUUGAGUGCAGAAGAGGACAGUGGAACUCCAUGUGUAGCGGUGAAAUGCGUAGAUAUAUGGAAGAACACCAGUGGCGAAGGCGGCUGUCUGGUCUGUAACUGACGCUGAGGCUCGAAAGCAUGGGUAGCGAACAGGAUUAGAUACCCUGGUAGUCCAUGCCGUAAACGAUGAAUGCUAGGUGUUGGAAGGUUUCCGCCCUUCAGUGCCGCAGCUAACGCAUUAAGCAUUCCGCCUGGGGAGUACGACCGCAAGGUUGAAACUCAAAGGAAUUGACGGGGGCCCGCACAAGCGGUGGAGCAUGUGGUUUAAUUCGAAGCAACGCGAAGAACCUUACCAGGUCUUGACAUCUUUU